GUUUUAAAGAGCGAUGCACGGCCCCCUGUGUAGAUCUUUGUGCUCACGAUCUCUCCAACCACCGUUCGUCCGAGUGAGACCUCCGGUCCUCUGCUCGAGUCCCGGCGAUGCGUCUUUACGCGGCGAUGCUGGCGGCGCUCCUUUUGGGGAACUUGAUGUUGCUUUCGUCUCGGCUCAAAACGCUGGGUUUGUGAAGUCACCAAUGUCUGAGACUAAGCUUACGGGGGACACCUUUGAGCUGUACUGCGACGUGAUUGGUAACCCCACUCCAGAGAUCCAGUGGUGGUAUGCGGAGAUCAACCGAGCCGACUCCUUCAAGCAGCUGUGGGACGGAGCCCGCAAGCGGCGGGUAUCCAUCAACACGGCCUACGGCACCAAUGGGGUCAGUGUGCUCGGCAUCACACGCCUCACACUGGAGGACUCCGGGACCUAUGAGUGCCGGGCCAGCAACGAUCCCAGGCGCAAUGACUUCCGACAAAACCCCGCCAUCACCUGGAUCCGUGCCCAAGCCACCAUAUCAGUGCUACAGAAACCAAAGAUCAAUGCUUCUGAUCAGAUCAUCUUGCCAUCGGAGCCCUCUGGUGGAUCAAUUAUCCUGCAAUGUAACCUCACCACUGCCCACAACGCACAUAAAGAAAGCUUCUGGAUGAAGAACGGACAGGAGAUUCCCAAAACACGAACAGAGAAGAAUAGCACAACAUACAGAAUUAAUAAACCAAGGGCAGAUGAUGCUGGGGAAUACAUGUGUGUAUUUACAUUUGACAUGGCGCCAAACGCCAACGCGACAAUUGAAGUCAAAGCAAACCCUGAAGUCAUUAGCCACAAGCGAAGUGAGAAUAAGAAAGAGGGAGAAAAUGCAAUGCUUUACUGCAAAUCUGUUGGCUAUCCACAUCCCACAUGGAUGUGGCGUAAACUAGAGGGACCAGCCUACACGGACAUUGACAACUCCUCAGGACGUUACUUCAUCACUAGCAAAGACAACUACACAGAGCUCAAUGUAUUAAACUUGGAUAUAAGCACAGAUCCUGGCGAAUACCAGUGCAAUGCCACCAACAUGAUUGGAACCACUGCUAAGACCACUAUACUUCGUGUGCGCAGCCAUCUUGCACCGCUUUGGCCUUUCCUCGGUGUGCUGGCUGAAAUCAUCAUCCUUGUAGUCAUCAUCGUUGUGUACGAGAAACGUAAGAGACCUGAUGAUAUUAUUGAUGGCUACAUAAUCUAAAUGGGUGAUGAUGAAUCAGCUGGACAAAUGAAAACAACUUCAACAAACAACCACAAGGACAAAAACAUUCGCCAGAGGAAUACAAAAUGAGAAAUUUACUCAUAUGAGAUGGCUAAACUGCACACUGCGACCACAUGAAGGUAUCAGAUCUGAAUAAAGUGCUGGGCGGGUUUCUUGAAAAAGCACAUCUUGUCUCAUUUUAUGAGAAACAAUAUCAGCAUAACACUGGCAACAAAAUGAACAUAAUGGCUGUUUUAAGCAUGCCUUAUUCAGUCUUACGUGGAUAUUUGAGGAUGACAGAUGAUGACUAAAACCACCACAGAGGUGUACACAUUUUAAAAUGUGCCGUUGAUGUCUCCUUUUUUAAUUUCAUCAUGUCCUCGAAUGAGGUGAUCCUUUUUGUAUUACAUAUCAUGUAUGAUGCAUGCAAGGUAACGCAAUAGGAUACUCAGAAUAGACAUUUUCUGUUGUUAUCCCUCAUGUUGCUUUUUUGCAUCUAAAGCUACUUUUUUUUAAUUAAGUCAUCAUAUAUCUUGAACAUUUGUACAGCAUAUCAUGGUCAUUUAAGUCUUUUAAAUAUGUUUGAUUUUGUGAUAAGUCCAUCUUUACAAGAACUUUUAUUGUGAAGCAAGGGCUUCAGUGACUGGCAGUAUUUCAUUGAGAGUGAUUACAGAAAAUGACUACUUUGUGUAAUUAUCUAAAAUGAUAUGUAUUAUUUUUAUUUUCUUUCUAGAGUAACAUAGGUGUCUUGUAUAUGUUGCAAUAUGAGUGUUCAAAUGAUAGGAAAUAUCUAUGAAGUUUUUUAUAUUUCCCAAUUUCCUUAACUGAUUUUUAGUUUUUAGUUUUUUUCCCCUCUUUCUCUCUAACCGUAUAGCAUGGCUACAAUCCUAUGCAAUAUGUAUUCUAUAUGUGGAGGGCAGUUUGCUUUACUCAGUGAAGCUUUAAUGUUGUGGGAUCACUUGGAAGCUGGCAUAGCGAAAUACACUGCUGUAGCUGCAUGUCUCAUCUUUUAAUACAAUGUAUUCAUGUGUGUGUUGCGGUGAAAAUGGACCUGCAUUAGGAUGGGAACAGAGGGACCAGAGUAUAUAGCCACGAUCAAACAUAUGAGACCAAUAUUUUUUUUUUAAAUAAAAAGCUCAGAAAGUAA